UAAUAUUUAUCUCAUCCUGAAGAAGGAUGGCUAGGGAAAGAAGCAGGAAUGAAGCAAUGUUUCUGCUUUUAUUCAGAAGUCCACAUGGGAUUAGGAGCAGAAAUUGAGUUUUCCAAAUGUUACAACAAACAUAUUUAAGGAUCCUUUGGAAUAUAAGAUGCUUUACAGACUUUAAGUAUUUCACUGGUUCUCACAUUCAGGUAGUGUAGUGUGGCACUCUGUGAAUGUGCAGGAGGGAUUUUCAGAUGAUAGUCCUUUCUUUCUUUUAAUGGAUGUCACAAUACAGAGAGAAAUACUAAAUGCAAGCAAGCCCUAUGGUUUUGAUUGUGGUUAGUCUGACGGUUCUGGUUUGCUUUAAGUGGAAGCUGAUGAACAAUGGUUUAAAAGGAGAAAAGGAAAACGGCCCCAGCACUGAGGUCAGUCAGCCACUUCCUACAUCCAGCUGUUUCAGUUUAUUUUUUUAAUUAAGUUUGGCUUAAAUUAAUGAUGACAGUUUAAAGAGAACUCUUUCACCUAUUUAGCUGACUUUACAUCUGAAACCAAGUCCCUUCUGUCCAACUGCAUUUUGUUACAAGAUUUGCAGUUAAGUCCCUAAAAGUUCCUGGUUUCUCCCCACUUUAUUUUGUCAUCUUUCUGCUCUGUUAUUGCCCUCUGCCCUUUAGUGCCCUUUCAAGGGAGGGCUAAAGCUAUUGCUGCUGCAGUAUGGAAACAAAGUGCCUCCUAAUUGAUCGUUAAUACUGCCGGAGAGUGAGGAUGUUGGGAACUGCCAGAUCAAGCCCAUUUACUCCAGCUUCUGGGUCAGCUCUUCAGCUGGUAUAAAUCAGCCAUCCUUCUUGGCUUCUUAACAGUUGAGUGUAGGCUGUGACAUUGAGGAGUUGGUUCUGGCUCUGUAGCCUGGUGCUCUGUGCAAGCACCAGAUCCUACAGGGCUUUUGUCUAGCAAUGAAGGAAUGCUCCCUGGUCCAGAAUAGUGGUGAUUUACGUCCAGAAGCCUUAAAAUUAGUAGCUCUAGAAGUAUGUGUCAGCUCCCCAAUUUAGGUGAUGGGGGAAAAGAAACAGCAGCAGUCUUAAUUUUCAGAAAAAAAAUGCAGCUGGAACAAGAGCUUCUCUGAUCCUAUCAGACAGCACAAAGAUGCACUCAAGUGCAUGGUUCUGAUUCUCUUGCUAAGCCUGUGGAGUGUCUGCUUUUUUCUAUAAACUUCAUACUUGCCAUAGAGAAGGAAAGAGUUCCCUGCUCUGGGGGUUCUGGCUUCAUUCUCAUGGAAAUUACUUAAAUUCCUCAAAGCUAUCAAUUUAAGCAUUUCUCUGUAGGCCUGACUGCUUCUCUUUCCAGACUAGAGUAAUUUUUUCUUAGAUGGGGAGACUUCACCAUAGUGCUUAAGGUAAGAGCUGAUAACUCAUCACCAAAAUAAUGAAUGAAGUGCCACUCCUUGUACCUUUCCAUAGUUUGCUAGGAAAGCAAUAAGAAUUGCAUCAUCACUCAUUGCAGAUAUAAACGUGAUCAUUAUGUGUGCAGUCCUCUGUAAACAGUAAAACCUUAAAGGUUCCUUAAAUUGAAACAAAUCCCAUGGCCUGAGCAGUCCCAAGUCUUGUAAGGCAUACAAGGUUUUCUAGGGAACAGUCUUUGACUGGAGUCUUAAGAGGACUGUCAAAACAAGCAGACUUGUGGUGUUUUGGUCAUUAAUGAGACAGAAUUACAUUGUCUCUCCAGAAGACAGCAGAGGUAGGGCUGUGCUUAGUAAGAUGAUAGAAAGAAAUCAGUCCUAUGAGCUGAUCUGAAUCCAUGACAGAAACUGGCAUGAGCUAGGAAGAACAACAGAGGAUGAUCUCCUGGAGAGAAGACAGACUGCAAGCAAGCAGGACUGGGGAGGACCCAGGAGCCCCAAGGGACACACUGAGAUGGUUGCCACGCAUGAGAAAGGGCAGCUCAAGAAAGCAGGCAGCGGAGAAGUCCCAGGGGGCCGCAACCCAGGGCAGCCUGCAGUUCUUGAUCUUGCUCGCACUUGUGAGCAACACCAUGAGAAGAUCCCAGCAGCAGCCAUGGGGUGGCCCAGCAGACAGGCAGCACCAGCUCACAUUGCACCUCGUAGGGAACAGCACUGGGCAAAGUAUGAUGCUGCAUUAAUGCCAACACUGGCACCGGGGAGCAGGCGCUAUCCCUACAGAGACCACACUUUGGGGCAGCCAAAGAGUUUUCCAGUGCCAGGAGAGUUUUGGACAGUGCACCAUUGGUUCUGCUGAAUUGCCUCUUGGUAUCUUCUACACACGUUGAUUUAUUUGUCAGGAAACAGAAGAACCUGGUAACUCUGUGUGAUCCAUAAUGAUAAUAACAAAAGAUAUAAAUCAGAUGAAUUUCAUUUGACUCGCACGGAAAGGGUUAUAGUUUUGCCAUAAAAGUUUAUUCAAGCUAAGGUAUUCUUGAAUAUUACUAUGCCAUCCAAGGGUUUAUUUUAUGGAUCUAUACUGUGAGGCUAGAAAUAAAGGCUAGGCUGUGGCUUUGUUCCAAGUCCUUAGUACGAGUACUCAGCUGUAACAGAGUGGAAGUAAACCAGAGCACCUUUGGAAGCUCAAAGAAGAAGGAGCAAGCCUUUGAUAAGCUCCUAGAAGGAUAUGGAAAGAGCAAGUUCCAAUAAGCUCACACCUGUAAACAAAUUCAGAUGCCUCCUCCUUUCUUCUUAAUCCUCCCAGGUGCUCUGACCAGGAAAUUUGGGAACUGCAAUGACAUUUCAGAUUCUUCUAGCCAUCCCACCUGCUCCAGGCCGUGCUUCACCUUCUACUUCUUGUAAACUCAUAUCCUCACACCAUGUCCUCAACCCUUGGAGCUGUUGCUCCUUGUCAUUCUGCCUGACCCAUUCGCUCAUCCCCAGCCACCUGGGGUAGGAGCUCUUCCCAACACAGCCUCAGGAGCCCCAGCCUGGACCAAGUGUCUGCGUGUCAGCCGCCUGUGCCCAGCGUCCUACACCACAAAACAUGAGAGAUGAUCCAUGGAGCAGCUACUUUAGAGCAGUGGAUUCACACUUUUUUUUCCUGUAGAAGGCAGCAUGUUCCAGCUCCCAUGUUUGCUCUCUCUAUCCUGUAUGUUUCUGCUAGAAUAAAGUUCCUCUUCAUUCCAGGUGGCGGUGUGAAAUACCUAGUGGUCAAUGAAAUCCCUCACAAGUUGUGGGAUGAUGACCACUGUUACAAGGCACCCGAGGGACUGACCUGUGAUAGUUCAAGUUAAAAAGGCAAAAAAUGUACCCUCCAUGUAAUGAUGCCAUAAAGGAUUCCACUUUGAUGCACUCAGUUUGAUGAGUUAAGAGAUCUCUCCUCAAAGUUAUGUGUUUAAUGAAUGUUUUCCUGUUUAUCAAUAGCAGCAGUGUUAGGCUAGGUUAAGCGCUGUUAGCUGCCCUUACACAUCCACAAGUAAGAGAAUGACACAAAAGUUGAUGCACUGCCCCACAGACUUCACUUUUCCAACCAUGCAGAGGUUCUCAACUAUUUAAGACAUAGACACGAUGGGAUUUAUUCCUCCUCUUCCCCUGUUAAACAUGAUGUGCGGAAAUAGGGCUGACCUUACAGUCUGUUUGUCAGUUCCAGAUCUGGUUUCUUUUGGUCACCUUCUGCCAGACAGAUCCUUAAAGUUGGCAAUGUCAAAAAAUCCUGUCCUUUCCUUUGGAACAGACACAUUUAUCUGCCUUUUUGCUCUGUGAAAAAAGCAGUCAGCAAGAGGGGGUCUGGAAGCCUCCAGAAGCCCUGUCCAUGAGUGGGGCGGUGGAAACAGGAGCGCUCUCUGUGCUGGCUGGAAUUUCCUUUCUCAGGAGUUGCAGCUGGCACUCUGGGCCUCCCAAGGAUGACUGCAAUGAAGUCCUUUUUCCAGACUAAAUAACCAUGCUAAUAUAAGCAGCUCUCUCAGAGGCUUGAAGGUUUUUAACAAGAUUCUUUUGAUUCAAAUCAAGCGGGUCUCUUACCUCGAGCUCUUCCAGAAGCGGAGAAGGGCUUGUGGGACUUCCUGAAGGCAGUAACAGAAGAGACUGCUAUUUCCAUCGCUCCCCUGGCCUCAUUCACAAAUCUCUUUACUGUUUUCUGUGGGUUUGGUUGAACCUUCCUGAAAGCUUAUCAGUUUGAAUCAAAGCCUCACCUGCCUCCAUUUGUUGAAGACACUGUGCUUAUGGACUUAAGCAAGUUCUGGAUGAAGCCUCAUGCAUUUUAAGUAUCCAGGUCUUUAUCAAGGAGCUGGAUUUGAAGUUUUUCCCAGUCUAUCAAGACAUCCUUGUGAAUUAUUGGCAAGAGCAAAAACAUUUUGAGGAACUUCAGUCCUACCAAAGGAAAGAAACUUGCGAUAAAUUACAUUAGUGGAUGUUAGGUUUCAGUUUUGACCCAAGAGACAUCAUUCCAGGAUCUUCCUCUGCAGCUGGUAAACACUCGGAGGUACCUCCUCAAAUCUCUUUCUCCUAGAGGCAUCUACAGCUGCAGCACUCAGGUUUCAGUGAGGGACAGUUCUGACUGAGCCUGCGCAUUAUGUGAAGUAAGAGGUGCUGAGCAGCUAGAUGUGCCCUUCUUCAGAUGAGCUCUGAAGCAAAGGCACUGGCCACUGUAGUCAGUAAUUCAGCCAACUCUCUGUCUCUAGCAAAGUAUUUUAAAAGUCCUCAAGCGCUGAUUUUUUUCACACCUCUAUUGAUAAUGUGGUUAUGCCUCUGCUGCAUUGCAGCAAAAGGUAAAGCAAUUAUCAUAUAUUGUUUAUCCUUUGUUUGGGAGAACUAGGAAGCUCAGUUGAAGGGCAACCUAAAUACAUGAAAGACACUACUGAAAAACAAAAUCUUUGUACUACUUUCAGGACAGAAGUGCAGAAGACAAGAUUGUACAUCAUUUGUUAAACAGUCUGUCUUCCAUGAAACCUCAAAAGUUUCUUUUCAUAUCCAGAGUUUCUGGCAAGUCAUUCCUUAAAUUCAUACUGCUUAGCAGUUUUCCUUGCCUCCCUGUGUGUUUACUUCUACAGCAUCCAAGAGGGCAGGCUGAGCUAAGUACAGAUACCAUCAUCUGAUGCUCUACGUCAGAACCAAAUAUAUAAAUAUAUAUACAUAUAUAAUACAGAGGCCUUUGAUUCCCUACUCCCAUUAGAUGUUAUGCAGCAUUUCUGUGCAUUUGAGUGAUGUUACUGCUGAUACUUGGUUUUGGAAGAUGAAUGCUCACCCAUACACAGGAUUCAAUUAACAUUCUUUUAUGACUGCAUCCAUAUUUUUCUUAAUGAGCAUACUCCUUGGUGAGAGUGAAUAUUUACCUCGUGGCAUUAAAUCCACAGUUAUCUACCACAGUCAUUAAUGAUCAUAUAGCAAAUGAUCACCCCAACACUCUGGCUACAUUCCAGUUCAAGUAAUUAUAUUCUGCCUCUCUUAAUUUCCUUUCGAGAGUAAUUGGACAUGAUAAUAGUCUUCACUUGUUAUCCUAAACUGCUCUGCAGCCUUACCACAUCUCAAAGCUUCAAGGACUUAAUCACAGCUCCCAAUAGGUGGAAUAUUGAUAGAUGAUCUCUCUCUUCACCCCAUCUUUUUAUCACAUAAAAAUCCAUUAAUUAUCGUAACACCAAAUGAAGGCAUCUACCAGAUUUGACUACGUAGAUGCAAUACGCUAUGCCAUCUGUAUAGCACUAGCUGUCUAGAGACAUAAGCCAGAAGUUUAAAUGUUCUCAGAAACUUACAAAGUCAUUGAUUUUAGGAAGCUGAUGAUAUGAAUUGCUGUACCUUUAUGUGCCUCUGCCUUUGUCUACAUUAGCAAGCAAUUAGGCAUAGGAAGAGCAGCUUGGUACAACAAUGCGACUGGCUGUGAGAGCUCUACAUCUAGAGUGCAGGCGGUUUGGCAUUUUAUCCUAGAUUAUAUUUAGUUUGAUUGACUGGACAGCCUGAAUGCAUGCAGUUUAAAUGUCUUCUAAGGACCACUUUUGUCCCUGCUAGGGGCUGAAGCACAACCAGUGUGCACCUGAAGUAGACAGCUUCUGCUUUAGUUUCCUGCAAAAAGAAAAUGAUUCAUACACUCCAAAACUGCAAAUCAAACCAGGGCAGGAUAAAUGAGGAUGACGAAGACAGAUGCUGCAAACCUGCUCUGCUGUUCUGAGCAUUAAUGUGGAUGGGAUCCACUGCACGCUGAAGUGUCUGAUACCUAUGCAAGGACUGUUAAAGGACAACAGGUCUUAACAGGGGGCUGUAUUCUGAUCAACAAUGGGAACAGAAAAUAAUAACAGAGCUUAUAACUGAAUCAUAAUGUAUGAAAAGAAGCUUUUGGGUAGGAGAGAGAAAGAGACAAGCAUGCUUCAGCAGCCUGGUGGGGGUGCAGUCCUCAGGAAAAAAAUUCUCCAGCCCUAAGGAAACUGCUCCAGAUGGCAAACAAUCCAAGAUUGAACACGUAGAGUUUGUCUGAUAUGUGCUGGUUUAUUUUUGAGUUACUCCAGAGAGACCAAGCACAGAAACAGCAUUGCUGCCCAUUUAUACUGCAAAG